AAAGUACUCCCUCCAUCCGAAAAAGCUGGUCCCUCAAAUGGAUGUAUCUAGCACUAACUUAGUGCUAGAUACAUCCAUUUGAGGGACGAGAUUUUUCAGACGGAGGGGGUAUGAU
rfam:Triticum aestivum genome assembly, contig: Triticum_aestivum_CS42_TGACv1_scaffold_220819_3B